CUCGCGUGUCUAUUACCAGAAGCGACGGCAGGAUGAAGGUCAGACUAAAGAUCUUACCUGACGAGCCGAGAGGUGGUGCAUGGCGACCGUCAGCUCGUGGUGCGAACUGUCCGGUUAAGUCCGGUAACGAGCGAGACCCUUAUGAAUAGUUGCAACCAAUACAGAUGUGUAUUGGGCACUCUGUCGGGACCGCCUGCGUUUAAGCAGGAGGAAGGAGAGGGCCACGGUACGUCAGUACGGCCCAAACCUCCAGGGCUACACGCGGCAUACAAAGGUUGGUACAAUGGGCUGCCACUCAGAGAUGAGGAGCCAAUCCCCUAAACCAAUCUAAGUUCGGAUUGAGGGUUGAAACUCACCCUCAUGAAGUUGGAAUCCCUAGUAAUCGCUUGUCAUCAUCGAGCGGUGAAUACGUCCCU
rnacentral:rRNA from 1 species